AUUGAACGCUGGCGGCAUGCUUUACACAUGCAAGUCGAACGGUAGCAGGGAGCUUGCUCCGCUGACGAGUGGCGAACGGGUGAGUAAUGCGUCGGAACGUGCCGAGUAGUGGGGGAUAACGCAUCGAAAGGUGCGCUAAUACCGCAUACGUACUGAGGUAGAAAGUGGGGGACCUUCGGGCCUCACGCUAUUCGAGCGGCCGACGUCUGAUUAGCUAGUUGGUGAGGUAAAGGCUCACCAAGGCGACGAUCAGUAGCGGGUCUGAGAGGAUGAUCCGCCACACUGGGACUGAGACACGGCCCAGACUCCUACGGGAGGCAGCAGUGGGGAAUUUUGGACAAUGGGCGCAAGCCUGAUCCAGCCAUGCCGCGUGUCUGAAGAAGGCCUUCGGGUUGUAAAGGACUUUUGUCCGGGAGCAAAUGCCUGGUGUUAAUAGCAUCGGGAGCUGAGAGUACCGGAAGAAUAAGCACCGGCUAACUACGUGCCAGCCGCCGCAGUAACAC
rnacentral:rRNA from 1 species